UUACUGAGUUUACGCUCUAUAACCCUUUGUGAACAUACCUAUAACUGUUGCUUCGGCGGGUAGGGUCUCCGUGACCCUCCCGGCCUCCCGCCCCCGGGCGGGUCGGCGCCCGCCGGAGGAUAACCAAACUCUGAUUUAACGACGUUUCUUCUGAGUGGUACAAGCAAAUAAUCAAAACUUUUAACAACGGAUCUCUUGGUUCUGGCAUCGAUGAAGAACGCAGCGAAAUGCGAUAAGUAAUGUGAAUUGCAGAAUUCAGUGAAUCAUCGAAUCUUUGAACGCACAUUGCGCCCGCCAGCAUUCUGGCGGGCAUGCCUGUUCGAGCGUCAUUUCAACCCUCAAGCUCUGCUUGGUGUUGGGGCCCUACAGCUGAUGUAGGCCCUCAAAGGUAGUGGCGGACCCUCCCGGAGCCUCCUUUGCGUAGUAACUUUACGUCUCGCACUGGGAUCCGGAGGGACUCUUGCCGUAAAACCCCCAAUUUUCCAAAGGUUGACCUCGGAUCAGGUAGGAAUACCCGCUGAACUUAAGCAUAUCAAUAAGCGGAGGAAAAGAAACCAACAGGGAUUGCCCCAGUAACGGCGAGUGAAGCGGCAACAGCUCAAAUUUG
rnacentral:rRNA from 1 species